CUCUCAUAGAUUUGGAGUGUUUAGUAUAACUCGAUAGAUUUUUUAGUCACUGAGUAUGUGGUCACUGCAAAAUAGAACUGGCAUAAAAAAUCAUGAUGAAAUUAUUUCCUAGCAAUAGCAAUAGCAAUUGCAAAAUAUAGACAAUUCCCGGUUGAUUCAUCUUUAUUCUAGAAGUAAUUCAUACUUUAAAUUUAUAUGUGAUUUACUAAAUGUACUUAAUAUGAGAGAAACCUUAGAGAGAAAAACCUAAACUCAGUCAUCUAAAUCUCAAAUGGUAUUUCAAAGAACUUAGUCUGUCUAAUGUGAAGCUAAAACACAAAAGAACUU
rnacentral:lncRNA from 1 species